rnacentral:rRNA from 1 species
AUGGGUGAAGAGAAGCAGGAAAUUGAGAAAACAUUUCAUGGGUAUACCAUCAAGAAGAGGAAUAAUAGCUUGGUCACCAUUGAUAGAGUUUGGCAAAUGGCAACCGACAACGACAUCCUUUUGGCCCGUUGCCCGUGGCUUCGAGAUUUAUGCCUUUCAUUUGCUUUAUUCAAGCUGCUUAAACAUCAGUUCGCAAAGUGUCACGUCACCGUAUUCGGCUCUAUCAACGCAUUCAAUUUUGUCCUAAAUGUACUGGUUAACAAGGGAAAUCCGGACACGGUAUUCAGAGUCAUUGCAGAUGAGGUAUCUUUUGUGCUUGAUUAUUAUUAUUCAUCUCUCCCAACUUCAAGCUUUGGACGACUGCUGCCAGUUCUUAACAUCAUUGUCUCCCUCUCAAUUAUAAUUUGGUGCUUGCUUGUCAUGCCAAGGAUGUCAAUGUUUUUCAUACGUCCACUUUCACACAGUCAGAUAUGGUGCUUCACACCUUGCAAGUUACCGAAGGACAUAGAAGCCAUCAGGUGGAAUAUGGAUAAUCACAUGUUAUACUUCGGCAACUUGGUUCUAAGCUUCUUGCCCACAUUUUUGCUAAUUGUAGCGGUUAUAUUUGUUGAGGCAUGGCAGAUCAUAUCCUACUUGUGCUCCAACUGGUUCAAGUUAACCCUGUUUAGUAGCUAUGUGACCCAUGUCUCUUGGCAACAAUCUCCUUGCAUGCGGAGAUUGUUUGGUCUUGUUCUCAAGUUCAAGAUUAAGUUCAUGCAGAAUUGGACUGAUCAAAUGGGUCAAAUAUCACUAGUAGCACACUCACAACCAGAAAAAUGUGUCUUGAGCCAACCGUUCUUUUACUUCUCUAGCCCAAGGCCGAGGGUGCGGCGGAUCAAUAUACCAUCAGAGGUGAAAGCCUCAAUUAUUGACACACUGAAAAGUAGUAAAGGUUGCUUGAGCAAAGGCACCGCUGCCCUCCUGGACAAUGGGAUAGGCAAUCAUGUUCUCUGGGCAUGCGAAGAACAAGACAUAUCCCAUAUUAUCCUUGUUUGGCACAUAGCCACCGACAUCUUCAAGGCCGGGCAUGGAGCUUCAACCGAUUGCUCAGCCGACAAGAAGACCGCAAUGCAUAUGUCACAAUAUUGCGUCUACAUGAUGGCAUCCACUCCCGAACUACUGCCACCAGACAAGGGAUGGUCCAAGAAAUUAUACAAGAUUGUGAGCGAAGAUAUCAAGCAUACUUUCGCCGGUGGGAGUGUGUCGGUGGAAUAUGACAUCAUGGUGCAACUCCUUGGUGAGGAAUCCAGGCAUGAGGUAGUGAAGAGAGGAGCAAGGCUGGGAAAGCAGCUGGUGGAGUUGAUUCCAGAUGAGGAGACGGGGUGGCACAUAUUGGCUUGCUUCUGGUCUGAGUUGAUCUUGUAUGUUGCUCCCUCUCAUAACGUCAACGCACAUAAGAAGGCACGUGCCCAUGGUACCGAGCUGGUGACGCUCAUAUGGGCCUUGUUGAGGCACGCCGGGGUCAUUGACAGGCCCGACACCCAAGUUGUCCCUUAG